UGGGGAAUCUUGCACAAUGGGGGCAACCCUGAUGCAGCGACGCCGCGUGAGCGAUGAAGCCCUUCGGGGCGUAAAGCUCUUUCGACCGGAACGAUAAUGACGGUACCGGGAGAAGAAGCUGCGGCUAACUACGUGCCAGCAGCCGCGGCAAUACGUAGGCAGCAAGCGUUGUUCGGAGUUACUGGGCGUAACGAGUGCGUCGGCGGUUUUCUAAGUUCGGUGUGAAAUCUCCCGGCUUAACUGGGAGGGUGAGCCGAAGACUGGGAAGCUGGAGUCUGGGAAAGGCAGGCGGAAUUCCUGGUGUAGCGUUGACACGCGUAGAUAUCAGGAGGAACCCCUGCGCUGUAGACGGCUUGCUAGACCAUAACUGACGCUGAGGCACGAAAGCGUGGGUAGCAAACA
rnacentral:rRNA from 1 species